AGUGGUGUGGAGAGUGGCACACAUUAAAGUCUGCUGUCGGGAUUUUGAGACAAAAGAUAGACUGCUCAGAGAUAAAGAAGAGACCAAAAGCUCCAUCAACAGAGUGCUGAGAAACAAAGGGUUAGGGAUGCAUCAGUGAAUUAAACAGUCAAAAAUCCCUGGCCUCUACAAGCUGGUAGUCUAGAAGAGAGAGAAAGUCAACAAGUUCAGUAUGUAUUAUGUUACAUGGAGAUACACCAUGGAGAAAAGUCAA